GCUGGGCGUGGUGGCGGGCGCCUGUAAUCUCAGCUACUCAGGAGGCUGAGGCAGGAGAAUCGCUUGAACCCAGGAGGCGGAGGUUGCCGUGAUAGCGCCACUGCACUCCAACCUGGGUAACAGAGCGAGACUCUGUCUUAA
ensembl:misc_RNA Metazoa_SRP Metazoan signal recognition particle RNA